rnacentral:rRNA from 1 species
GGGUUGUGAGGUUAAGCGACUAAGCGUACACGGUGGAUGCCCUGGCAGUCAGAGGCGAUGAAGGGCGUGCUAAUCUGCGAUAAGCGCCGGUAAGGUGAUAUGAACCGUUAUAACCGGCGAUACCCGAAUGGGGAAACCCAGUGUGAUUCGUCACACUAUCAUUAACUGAAUCCAUAGGUUAAUGAGGCGAACCGGGGGAACUGAAACAUCUAAGUACCCCGAGGAAAAGAAAUCAACCGAGAUUCCCCCAGUAGCGGCGAGCGAACGGGGAGGAGCCCAGAGCCUGAAUCAGCAUGUGUGUUAGUGGAAGCGUCUGGAAAGGCGCGCGAUACAGGGUGACAGCCCCGUACACAAAAGCGCAUGUGCUGUGAGCUCGAUGAGUAGGGCGGGACACGUGGUAUCCUGUCUGAAUAUGGGGGGACCAUCCUCCAAGGCUAAAUACUCCUGACUGACCGAUAGUGAACCAGUACCGUGAGGGAAAGGCGAAAAGAACCCCGGCGAGGGGAGUGAAAAAGAACCUGAAACCGUGUACGUACAAGCAGUGGGAGCACCCUUUGGGUGUGACUGCGUACCUUUUGUAUAAUGGGUCAGCGACUUAUAUUCUGUAGCAAGGUUAACCGAAUAGGGGAGCCGGAGGGAAACCGAGUCUUAAUUGGGCGUUAAGUUGCAGGGUAUAGACCCGAAACCCGGUGAUCUAGCCAUGGGCAGGUUGAAGGUUGGGUAACACUAACUGGAGGACCGAACCGACUAAUGUUGAAAAAUUAGCGGAUGACCUGUGGCUGGGGGUGAAAGGCCAAUCAAACCGGGAGAUAGCUGGUUCUCCCCGAAAGCUAUUUAGGUAGCGCCUCGUGAAUUCAUCUCCGGGGGUAGAGCACUGUUUCGGCUAGGGGGCCAUCCCGGCUUACCAACCCGAUGCAAACUGCGAAUACCGGAGAAUGUUAUCACGGGAGACACACGGCGGGUGCUAACGUCCGUCGUGAAGAGGGAAACAACCCAGACCGCCAGCUAAGGUCCCAAAGUCAUGGUUAAGUGGGAAACGAUGUGGGAAGGCCCAGACAGCCAGGAUGUUGGCUUAGAAGCAGCCAUCAUUUAAAGAAAGCGUAAUAGCUCACUGGUCGAGUCGGCCUGCGCGGAAGAUGUAACGGGGCUAAACCAUGCACCGAAGCUGCGGCAGCGACACUGUGUGUUGUUGGGUAGGGGAGCGUUCUGUAAGCCUGUGAAGGUGUGUCGUGAGGCAUGCUGGAGGUAUCAGAAGUGCGAAUGCUGACAUAAGUAACGAUAAAGCGGGUGAAAAGCCCGCUCGCCGGAAGACCAAGGGUUCCUGUCCAACGUUAAUCGGGGCAGGGUGAGUCGACCCCUAAGGCGAGGCCGAAAGGCGUAGUCGAUGGGAAACGGGUUAAUAUUCCCGUACUUGGUGUUACUGCGAAGGGGGGACGGAGAAGGCUAUGUUGGCCGGGCGACGGUUGUCCCGGUUUAAGCGUGUAGGUGUGUGUUCCAGGUAAAUCCGGUUCACUUUAACACUGAGGCGUGACGACGAGGCACUACGGUGCUGAAGCAACAAAUGCCCUGCUUCCAGGAAAAGCCUCUAAGCAUCAGGUAACAUCAAAUCGUACCCCAAACCGACACAGGUGGUCAGGUAGAGAAUACCAAGGCGCUUGAGAGAACUCGGGUGAAGGAACUAGGCAAAAUGGUGCCGUAACUUCGGGAGAAGGCACGCUGACACGUAGGUGAAGUGAUUUACUCAUGGAGCUGAAGUCAGUCGAAGAUACCAGCUGGCUGCAACUGUUUAUUAAAAACACAGCACUGUGCAAACACGAAAGUGGACGUAUACGGUGUGACGCCUGCCCGGUGCCGGAAGGUUAAUUGAUGGGGUCAGCGCAAGCGAAGCUCCUGAUCGAAGCCCCGGUAAACGGCGGCCGUAACUAUAACGGUCCUAAGGUAGCGAAAUUCCUUGUCGGGUAAGUUCCGACCUGCACGAAUGGCGUAAUGAUGGCCAGGCUGUCUCCACCCGAGACUCAGUGAAAUUGAACUCGCUGUGAAGAUGCAGUGUACCCGCGGCAAGACGGAAAGACCCCGUGAACCUUUACUAUAGCUUGACACUGAACAUUGAGCCUUGAUGUGUAGGAUAGGUGGGAGGCUUUGAAGUGUGGACGCCAGUCUGCAUGGAGCCGACCUUGAAAUACCACCCUUUAAUGUUUGAUGUUCUAACGUGGACCCGUUACCCGGGUUGCGGACAGUGUCUGGUGGGUAGUUUGACUGGGGCGGUCUCCUCCUAAAGAGUAACGGAGGAGCACGAAGGUUGGCUAAUCCUGGUCGGACAUCAGGAGGUUAGUGCAAUGGCAUAAGCCAGCUUGACUGCGAGCGUGACGGCGCGAGCAGGUGCGAAAGCAGGUCAUAGUGAUCCGGUGGUUCUGAAUGGAAGGGCCAUCGCUCAACGGAUAAAAGGUACUCCGGGGAUAACAGGCUGAUACCGCCCAAGAGUUCAUAUCGACGGCGGUGUUUGGCACCUCGAUGUCGGCUCAUCACAUCCUGGGGCUGAAGUAGGUCCCAAGGGUAUGGCUGUUCGCCAUUUAAAGUGGUACGCGAGCUGGGUUUAGAACGUCGUGAGACAGUUCGGUCCCUAUCUGCCGUGGGCGCUGGAGAACUGAGGGGGGCUGCUCCUAGUACGAGAGGACCGGAGUGGACGCAUCACUGGUGUUCGGGUUGUCAUGCCAAUGGCACUGCCCGGUAGCUAAAUGCGGAAGAGAUAAGUGCUGAAAGCAUCUAAGCACGAAACUUGCCCCGAGAUGAGUUCUCCCUGAGACUUAAAGUCUCCUGAAGGAACGUUGAAGACGACGACGUUGAUAGGCCGGGUGUGUAAGCGCAGCGAUGCGUUGAGCUAACCGGUACUAAUGAACCGUGAGGCUUAACCUUACAACGCCGAAG